GACGGAUGGAUUUAUUGGUAACACACACAGGAAGUUCCUAUUCUACAACAACAAACCGAUGUGUUAAUUUCUGAUGUGAAACAAACUAAAGUGUAUGAAAAUGGACGAGGAAUAGACGAGGACCUGAGACAUAGGACCAUGCCUUAGGACUACCUGACCUGAUGACUCCUUGCUGUCCCCAGUCCACCUGGUCGUGCUGCUGCUCCAGUUUCAACUGUUCUGCCUGUGGCUAUGGAACCCUGACCUGUUCACUGGAUGGGCUACCUGUCCCAGACCUGCUGUUUUCAACUCUCUAGAGACACCAAGAGCGGUAGAGAUACUCUGAAUGAUCGGCUAUGAAAAGCCAACUGACAUUUACUCCUGAGGUGCUGACCGGCACCCUCUACAACCACUGUGAUUAUUAUUAUUUGACCCUACUGGUCAUUUAUGAACAUUUGAACAUCUUGGCCAUGUUCUGUUAUAAUCUCCACUCAGCACAGCCAGAAGAGGACUGGCCACCCCUCAGCCUGGUUCCUCUCUAGGUUUCUUCCUAGGUUCUGGCCUUUUUAGGGAGUUUUUCUUAGCCACUGUGCUUCUACACCUGCAUUGCUUGCUGUUUGGGGUUUUAGGCUGGGUUUCUGUACAGCACUUUGUGACAUCAGCUGACGUAAGAAGGGCUUUAUAAAUUAAUUUGAUUGAUUGAAACUCUUUUCUUUUGGGGGAACUAUCAUUUUCAAAUGUGUUCUAUUUUAGUCCAUGUUACAAAAUAGAUGUGUUGACUGAUUAGGGUAUGGGAAUAUAAGAGCAUCUGCUAGGCUAAAUUAAACUAGGCAUGCACAGCGCACCACAUGAUCCUCAAACCAAAGACUGGCCAAACUCGUGCUUCUAAAAGUGAAGGUGUUUUUUGGUUCAUUCUGAUCAGAAUGAGUUGUUCCCCACACAAGGGCUUUCUUACAGACAGAAAUACCUCCCCCCCCCCCCCCCCCCCCCCCCCCCCUCAUCAGAUUUGGAGGUCCUGGGCUACAUUUUUUUGUAGGUAUGGGAUCUUUUAUUUCAACUCAAGAAAAAUGGGACCAGUGUUUUAUUUUUGUUCAGUGUAGCAUAAAACAUUGCGUAUGUCAUUAUAGAUCGCUUUAUAUAAUCAGGUCCAUUUUAAUUUAUUUUGAAAUCUUAAAUUAUCAAGAUGUAGGCCUAUGCUUUUAGUCAUUUUCUUCAACUAAAGCCACAGCACCCUCACAUAACUCCUCAAUUCAAGACCUGUUUUGACCUUAACACAGCAAGCUCUUCACUUACACAGAUAUUUAAGGAGUGCAUGGUCACUGAAGUGAUUGGCUGACAAUCUAUGGAUGGUAGACUAUAAAUUAAUCUGUCAAACAGGUAGGCCUACCUGUUAUUUCUUGAAUAUGAAUAGGUUCUUAAACAAAGCACUCUUGUUAGUAUUCUAAAGUCAAAUUAAAAUGAAGACUUUAAAUGAAUUAGGUCUUCUUAUAUUUACCUACUACCCAUGCGCUGUCCAUCUCGGCGGCUGCAAAGUAAUGUAUGUAAAUUACUCAUGGCUUUUUGAGGUCAAUAACUCUGAUAAAUAGCUUCAUUAUGAGCAACUAAACCAAUGUUUAUAUUAAAAUUAAUUAUAACGAGGUCAUCCUCUUCACGCUCUCCCUCUCAAACGGAACAGGACAUCAGUAGGUCUAGUCCACGUGAACAGAUAUUGCAUUUUUUUUUAUAUAUAUAUUGACUGGCCUCCUGAAGUGCCACCGUACACAGCACAGUCAUUGGUUAGGCAGCCGCAGCACAAAGGGGUUUACUUCAGCAAGAGCAUUGCAGGACGGGCCUCUUGAUUGGGAGCGCCUAUCCAUUGCAGUGUGUAAUGCAGUGUAGCCUAGUUUUAUAUUCGCCAUCUCAGCAGCGCAAAAACUUGGGAUGGAAGUUCAUUAUUUUAGGAACAUAGCUUUGCCCUGUGCUCUUCGUGUAGCCUAUAGUAUAGACCAGCCUUUCUCAAACUAUUUUGUGCCAGGGAGACCCCAGAGGGUUUUUUAUAUUUGUAUUUUGUUGCAGCAAGAGAGAAGCUGGUCUCACAUAAGUAGGUAGAAUGAAAGGGGAUUCACUUCAACUCUGCCAUAUCGCGUUUGCUGCUGAACAGUGAGAAUGUGAACAGGCGCAUCUCAUUAAAACUAGAGCGCAGGCCUUGGUCACAGGACAGCUCCAAUAGUUUAUCAUCAAUAACUGAUGACAAGCUGUGAGUCUCUUCAGUGCUGGUGAACGGAUUACGUAUCCACUGCUUUCCCAGGCGUGGAUCAGAUUGCGAGGGGAAGUAAUCUUCGAAUUUGAGCAGAGUUUUGCUCAGAUGUGACCCCAACAAUUUAUGUAUGUGAUCCAUGUCUACAUAACCCACGUCAGUCAGAGUUUAGAAUAGAGGGGACAUAUCGAAAAAUGCCUCAAUCCACUCGGUCUCUCCAGACACCCAGUUUUUUCUUGAAAUCGGCAAUUCUAUCGUUUGCUUGGAAAAUGUCACUUUAGCGUCCCUGCAUGGCUAGGUUGAGCAGCAGUCUUGUAUAUAGGCCUGCAGUUCCCGAUACAACGGUCCCAUAGUAAUCCAUGUCCGUAUGUACUCGUUCAGGACACGCAGUUGUAUUCUGAGGCAAGUCUUUGCCAGGUAAUUUUCAUAUGUGGCAAAUAUAUACAAGAAGCGGAAUAUGAAAUGUCAGUCUUCUUGUGAACUACAAUUCUGACGUUGUGUUUUAACGUUUAUAAACAUCCAAAAAUCGUCAGUGAUGAGUGACUAUGACUGCCAGUAAAACAGACGGGGAUGGAACUGGGCCAGUGGAGCAAGCUCUGUCUCAGGACACAUCAGUGAUCUCAGUGUGUUCUGGCUCUGUGGAUGCUGUUUCCUACCUGACCCCGCACCAGAGGAGGAGCAGGGGCUGAUGAGCAUGCCCAAGACCAUGAUGGGAACAAUUUUAACCUGAGGGGGUGGUACAGGAUCAUGCAGUCUUCCCUGACCACAGACAGAGACAGCAGGACAACAUAGCCAGACUCUUUUCCCUCACCCUCCCUCUCCCCAUCUUCCCUCACCUUCUCCCACUAACCAUACUUUUCCCUCACGCUCCUUCUCACCAUCAUCCCUCACCCUCACACCACACUCUAUUCCCCCCCCCCCCCCCCCCCCCCCCCCCCCCCCCCCAUCCUCACCUUCCCCAGGUGUUGCGGAGCAGCUACAGAUGAGUUUCCAGUAGCUGUUUGGUUCCCCUGCGGCCCCUCCAUCCUCCGGGCCCAGCCUGCACCACCAAACCGUGGAGAGCAACCCUCCAGCCCUCCAACCUAAAAUACUGGCACCCAGCCCUGAGGGCCUGCAAGCCCAGGUUCUGUAAGAACCACUAUGCGGAGAUGGAGGCCACUCUUCUCAGGAUGUACGAAUGGCUACUGGACCGGUUCUCCUUCUUCCUGGGGGUGAAACCUGACUGUGUGUAUGAAGAAGUACUGAAGGUGGAGAGGCAUUUCCUCAGGAGUAGCAAGCCCUGGGCUAGAGCUUUAACUACGCCCACAAAGACACAGCCCAGAAAACAGCCCAACGGCAAACAAACCAGAAAAACAACUUUGUUCUCUAGGCAGCUAAAGAGAGUGACUUCAUCGGGACCAACUACUGUGGAUUGUUACUGUGCCAUAAUGCCAUGCUGACGGAUUACUUUAGUUUUUGUCUCGAUGUAACAUGAUUGAGUGUUUGCCUUUUUUGUACAAAUUGCCUGUUAUUACAAUGUUAUACGUGAACCUUUGUCCCAGCUAUGAAUCGAGGUUCAUAGAAAUCAGACAUUUAUGCACAUAUGGCUUUGCAACUCUGUUAAUUAAGGAAUACCUGACAUUUUAAGCUAAGACUACAGGCUGUCAAUUUGCGUGUUACUUUAGUUUUGAGUGUGAAGGACAGGUAAUGGGUGUUACCUGCCAUUAGUGGUUUUGGACUGCUUUGUCCCAAUUCUCAGACACUUCUAUGAAACUUUGUAGAAGCACCUAUGGCAGCGAUUACAGCUUUGAGUCGUAUUGGGUAUGUCUGUAUCAGCAUUGCACAUCUGCAUUUGGGGAUUUUCUCUCAUUCUUCCUUGCAGAUUUUCUCAUGCUCUGUUAAGUUAGAUGGGGAGCGGCAGUGAACAGCAAUCUUCAAGUCACUCCAGAUCAUCACCAAAUUUCACAGUGGGUGCGAGACCUGGAGAGGCCUACAAGCCACAGUGCCAGGUCAAUCAAGGUGUGGAUGGAGGACCACCAGAUCAAGACCCUGUCAUGGCCAGCCCAAUCUCCAGACCUGAACACCAUUGAAAACCUCUGGAAUGUGAUCAAGAGGAAGAUGGAUGGUCACAAGCCAUCAAACAAAACCAAGCUACUUACAUUUUUGCUCCAGGAGUGGCAUACAAUUGGAAAAUCUGAACAUCGCUCCCCAUGAUGGCUGUCUUUCGGAACGUAUUCCCACCUAUAAAUACCUUGGAGUUUGGUUAGAUGAUCAUCUCUUUUAAAACUCAUAACUGAGAUGGCAAAGAAGCUGUGUCAUCAGAGCACAGAACGUAAAUUGUACAGGCCACUUAUGUCAGUGCUUGAUUAUGGUGAUGUUUUAUAUAUGCAUGGAUCAGCAUCAGUACUGAAGACAUUGGAUGCAGCGUUGCGCUUUGUUACUUUUGCACACAUCAUUGCCUUUUAUACACUUUGGCUGGCUGGGACUCCCUGACUUUUAGAAGGACCAGACACUGGUUGAUAUUUGUCUAUAAAGCUGUCUUACAGAAACUUCCUAAUUAUCUUAACUCAACAAUCCAGUGGUCAAACAGAAUUUAUCAGACUCGGUCACAGGACAUGCUAGUGCUAGAGAUGCCCCAGAUUCACUCUGAGUUAGACAAAACGGCAUUUCAAUAUCAUGCUCCACACUCAUGGAAUGAAUUGCAGAGAUAACUCCAGUUAGAUGUUUUGGUGCCUGUAAGACAGUUUAAAUGCACAUUACAUUAACCUUUUAGUAUAAACUGUGAUUUCUUUAUGUAAUGUGUUUUUCUUAUAGAAGUGUAUUUAUUUAAAUAUUUUUCAUCUCCGUCUUGUUACGGCUGUUAAAGGAAGAGGACCAAAGCGCAGCGUGGUUGGCGUACAUUUUCCUUUAUUGAAUACAAAUGACGCCGAACAAAACAAUAAACACUAAAAAACAGCUAAAGGCUAUGUGCCCUAAACAAAGUCAACUUCCCACAAAGACAGGUGGGAAAAGGGCUACCUAAGUAUGGUUCUCAAUCAGAGACAACGAUGGACAGCUGCCUCUGAUUGAGAACCACACCCGACCAAACACAAAGAAAUAGAAACAUAGAAAUAAAGAAACUAGAAUGCCCACCCUAGUCACACCCUGGAAUAACCAAAAUAGAGAAUAAAAGCCUCUCUAUGGCCAGGGCGUGACACUUGUACUUUUUAUAUGUUUUCAUUUUGUUUGGUUUUAAAUUCGUAUUAAUUGCUGUGUUUGUAUUGUUGUAUCACAGGGCACAACUGUAACAGAGACUGUCUCAGCUUGUUUCUCCUGUUUUAAUAAAGAUUAAUAAAAUAAAGUCA